GACAAGGGUAGAGCGGACAGAGUACUUGGAAAAACAUUCCACUUUGGAGGCACUUGAAGAGUAUCCUGCACUCCGACUUCCAGUAAUAAAUCACAAGAUCAGCUUGAUGUUGACAUUGAUCGCAGCAUCAUGACGGGAAUGGAUCAGUUGCAGACCCGGGCUUAGAAAGAUACAUUUAAAGGAUCCAGAGAUCCCAACACCUGUCCUUGCAAUUAUGGGAAACCCCUUCUUGUGGAGGCUAGUUUUGGCGUGUGUCUGGACAGAUUACCCAGCCAGUUGACGACAUCACCUUGGCGAUGGCUACUUUGAUGUCGAUUUAUUUAGUUUUUAACAUCCAGUCCAUAAGAAGGUCAAAAACACUCUUACUUUCAUUGAAAAGUACCUCAUGUCAAAUGCACCUAAAGGAAAGCUCUCCCCACUGUCAUCAAAGUGGUUAUUGCUUGUUUUCUCAAGCAGUCUAAACCACU